rnacentral:rRNA from 1 species
AUUGAACGCUGGCGGCAUGCCUAACAUAUGCAAGUCGCACGCGAAAGGGGGCAACCCUGAGUAGAGUGGCGGACGGGUGAGUAACGCGUAGGAAUCUACCUGGUAGUGGGGGACAACCCGGUGAGAACCGGGCUAAUACCGCAUACGAUCCACGGAUGAAAGCAGGGGACCGCCAGGCCUUGCGCUAUCAGAUGAGCCUGCGUCGGAUUAGCUAGUUGGUGGGGAAAAGGCCCACCAAGGCGACGAUCCGUAGCUGGUUUGAGAGAACGACCAGCCACACUGGGACUGAGACACGGCCCAGACUCCUACGGGAGGCAGCAGUGGGGAAUAUUGGACAAUGGGGGCAACCCUGAUCCAGCAAUGCCGCGUGUGUGAAGAAGGCCUUCGGGUUGUAAAGCACUUUCGGUGGGGACAAACAAGGUGGAGCUAACAUCUCCGCCUCUGAUGGUACCCAAAGAAGAAGCACCGGCUAACUCUGUGCCAGCAGCCGCCGUAA